rnacentral:tRNA from 1 species
GAGCGUGUGGCCUAAAGAAUAAGGCAUCUAACUUCAGAUCACAAGAUUAAGGGUUCAAGUCCCUUUGCAGUUA